rnacentral:rRNA from 1 species
UACCAAACUGUUGCCUCGGCGGGGUCACGCCCCGGGUGCGUCGCAGCCCCGGAACCAGGCGCCCGCCGGAGGGACCAACCAAACUCUUUCUGUAGUCCCCUCGCGGACGUUAUUUCUUACAGCUCUGAGCAAAAAUUCAAAAUGAAUCAAAACUUUCAACAACGGAUCUCUUGGUUCUGGCAUCGAUGAAGAACGCAGCGAAAUGCGAUAAGUAAUGUGAAUUGCAGAAUUCAGUGAAUCAUCGAAUCUUUGAACGCACAUUGCGCCCGCCAGUAUUCUGGCGGGCAUGCCUGUCCGAGCGUCAUUUCAACCCUCGAACCCCUCCGGGGGGUCGGCGUUGGGGAUCGGGAACCCCUAAGACGGGAUCCCGGCCCCGAAAUACAGUGGCGGUCUCGCCGCAGCCUCUCCUGCGCAGUAGUUUGCACAACUCGCACCGGGAGCGCGGCGCGUCCACGUCCGUAAAACACCCAACUUCUGAAAUGUUGACCUCGGAUCAGGUAGGAAUACCCGCUGAACUUAAGCAUAUCAU